UAUCUGGAUUUAUUGGGUUUAAAGGGAGCGUAGGCGGGCUGUUAAGCGUGUCGUGAAAAGCAUCGGCUCACCCGGUGUCGUGCGGCGCGGACUGGCGGUCUUGAGUGGGUAGAAAGCCGGCGGAAUUCGUGGUGUAGCGGUGAAAUGCUUAGAUAUCACGAAGAACUCCGAUUGCGAAGGCAGCUGGCUGUAUCCUUACUGACGCUAAAGCUCGAAAGCGCGGGUAUCGAACAGGAUUAGAUACCCUGGUAGUCCGCGCGGUAAACGAUGGAUGCUCGUUGUGCGGCCAUUAUGGUUGCGCGACCAAGCGAAAGCGUUAAGCAUCCCACCUGGGGAGUACGCCGGCAACGGUGAAACUCAAAGGAAUUGACGGGGGCCCGCACAAGCGGAGGAACAUGUGGUUUAAUUCGAUGAUACGCGAGGAACCUUACCCGGGCUUGAACUGCAGAGGAAAGAUCCAGAGAUGGUGAUGCCCUUCGGGGCCUCUGCGGAGGUGCUGCAUGGUUGUCGUCAGCUCGUGCCGUGAGGUGUCGGCUUAAGUGCCAUAACGAGCGCAACCCUUCUCCGAAGUUGCCAUCAGGUUAUGCUGGGGACUCUUCGGACACUGCCACCGCAAGGUGUGAGGAAGGUGGGGAUGACGUCAAAUCAGCACGGCCCUUACGUCCGGGGCUACACACGUGUUACAAUGGCGCGUACAGAGCGCAGGCCGGCGGCGACGCCGGUCCAAUCCUCAAAACGCGUCUCAGUUCGGAUUGGGGUCUGCAACCCGACCCCAUGAAGCUGGAUUCGCUAGUAAUCGCGCAUCAGCCAUGGCGCGGUGAAUACGUUCCCGGGCCUUGUACACACCGCCCGUCAAGCCAUGAAAGCCGGGGGGGCCUGAAGUCCGUGACCGCGAGGGUCGGCCUAGGGCAAAACUGGGGAUUGGGGCUAAGUCGUAACAAGGUA
rnacentral:rRNA from 1 species